rnacentral:lncRNA from 10 species
UUUGGUUUGUUUCCUUUAAUUAAAUCUCAAAUUUACAAGAGUCCAGACUGUCUGGACAGCCCAACAGGGACACAGAGAGUUUUACACACUGAUGUCUCAACAGCACAGGGUUCCAUCGGGACUUCGUGAGAAAAUCAGGAUCCAUGUACGUUCUUGAAGAGCUGUCUCUCGGCCUAAGAUAAGUGGAGAAGGUUGCCUUGGAAGCGUGGGGUAGAGGUAGGAACAGCUGGCUCUCUGGCCAAGGCCUUUGGCUUUUUCGCGGAAGCAAAAACCGAACCACGGGAAGGCUGCUCCGAGUCUGGGGUCAGAAUUUCCUAUCAGUGAGUGCAGCAGACAAAUUCCAAAUGUCUCAAAUACUGAAUGGAGCCAGCUAGACCUACCUUCUCACCAAG